GUUCCACCACUCACUUCGGCAGCACAUACACUGAAAUUGGAACAAUACAGAGAAGGUUAGCACGGCCCCAUGCAAGGAUGACAGGUAAAUUCGCAGAGCAUUCCAUAUUUUA
ensembl:snRNA U6 U6 spliceosomal RNA